GGAUGAAGAAUAAAUAAAGAAUCAAUAGUAGUAUAAAUAUACUAUUUUUAUUACUCUCAUUGACAGUUGUCGAACGUGCUACAGCAUAUACCAUAUGUUUGUUGUUCGUGCACAUAGUGCAGUGAUUUGAACAUUUGUUUUCUCGGUGAUACAACUCUAAACUUGCCAUGCAGUCGUUGUGCCGGUGGAACAUUAGGAGGAACGUCGUUUUUUUGGCAAUGAUAAUGACAGUGGCAGGCGUACUUGUUCUAUAUAACAGUGAUGAAGAUGACCACGACGUCCGGUCUUCUGUAGUUCAGCGUAACGCUGACGAUAAAUAUGAUUUUGUCGUGCAUGCUUCGAUUCAUCAUACUGACGAUUGCUUUAGGAACAAUAUUAGAUACGGAAUCGAGCAUCUGUAUAAAAAUGUUUUAUUAUGGCGUUCAUCUAAGAACAGUAAAUGUAAAGCAAGUUUUGAGAAAUUUGACAAAAUUUACAGAGUAGAUAUAAGAGAAGGAAAGAUAUAUUUCCAUCCAAAGUUUGCAAACAAAGUCCAUGAGUGGCUAGGAUAUGAUCCAAAACUGUUCGAAGAAGUUAAACGACAAAAAGUCACCCAUGUGUAUCAUAAAUAUAGCCACAAACUUACAGCAUAUAAUCCGUUAAGGGCGAAGAGACCUACAGCAAAGCCCCAGAAACCUCCGAAACUAUACAUAGAAGAACUUAUAAAUCAGACACUGCCAGGGUGCGACUUUUGUAAUGCAGCGAUUAUGACUGCUGGGGAAAUAUUUGGGCGCGUUCAAGGGAAAUCAUCAAGAAGUGCUGCGAACACGUUUAAGAUUGAUAAAUGGCACGGACUUUUCAUCCCAGAUAAACAUAGUAUAUUAGAAAUCACUAUUCAAGAGUUUGUUGAUCUCUUUAACACUUCAUUGCAGUGGUUUGGCACAGUCGCUUCAAUUGAUAGAAAUGCUCGCUUUCCAGUCCUCUUUUGGGAUACGUUCCCUGCUGCAGGAGCCAGCCAGGUGCAUGUUCAUGUACAUGGAAUACUUGGAGAUGAACUUUACCGUGGAGCAUUAAAUGCACAGUUACGUGUUUCCAAUCAAUAUAUAUCGGAAACAAGUCGCAAUUAUUGGCAAGAUUUAGUGGAGGUUCAUGACAGAUUAGGACUAGCAGCAUUUUUUGGUAAAGCUGUGGCAAUUGCCCCUUUAACAUCAGAGAAAGAUCAUGAGUUACUGCUGAUUAGUCAGAUGCCCAACACUGACAUAUACAGUUUAUUGUAUUUUGUUAUCCAGACAUACCACAGCAUUGAUAGAUUUUGUUACAGUUCAAGUAUGGCACUACCACUUAUUGGAUAUGAAAGGUUGCUGCGUAAAUCUGAGUCACUUCCUACAAUUAUUAGAAUUGGUACGAGAGGAGAAUGUUCUUCAACAGUUAAUGAUGUAAGUUCUUUAGAACUUUACACAAUGUUCAACAUUAAUGUAGAUCCUUACUAUACGAUAGAGAAACUGAAAGAGACAAUUAGAAGAAUGGGCAAAACUGCUGUAGUUGGACCAUUGGUAGAUUUGUGGACUGUACACGAGUAAAAUAAAAAGUUGACUGCAGUUUACAUUGACUGCAGUCACUGUCAAUGGAAUGGAAUUUGGACUCGUGGGAAUUUUGUAGUGUCAGUUGAUGUGAUUUGAGAUAUAAUUUUGAUCCUGCACCUAUUACUCGGCACACUUCAAAAUGCAGUACAUAGAUGUUUCUGUGUUUUUUAGAUGUUUAAUGUUGCUAAAAAAUGUGUGUUGACUAUAUUAUGAAAUUUUUCCUGACAUGAUGAAUUUUAUUAUAAUAGUGCUGUUGCACUAUUCUGGUACAUUGAUUAUUACAUUAUAAUAGGAGCAGUGUCUUUAUGGACUAAAUCAUCCAUAAAAGGUCCAUACACAAACCAUAAAGUAUGUGUUAGACAUAUUGUCAUGGCAUUUGGUGUUUCUCCUUCACGGUCUUAUGUUUGGGCUUGAAGACAAAUAUUAUAGCAUACAGGGUUGUAAUGCUGUUUUGUCAUCAUUAGAUGGAAAUAAGAGAGGGUACCAGCCUCUUGGUCUCAUGAAUCAUCGUCUAUAGUAGUAUGUGCCAUACAUUGAAGAGAUCUGAGAUAAUGGUUAAGGAUGUUUUGAUUGAAUACCAAUGUAAAAUGACUUUUAAUAAUGAGGCACGCAAAGCUUCUGUUGGCUGGACAGGUUCAUGGAGGCAGAAACAGAAUGGUAGUACUUUUGCUGUAGAUAGUCCCCUUGUAAAGUUUAGCCAUACUGUUGGCUUUCUCAUAGACUCUUAGAUUAAUCGCUUCAUUGUUCUUUUUUUUAUUUUUUUAUUUGUAUCACUUUCAGUAAGUGAUGAAUUAGUAGGAUGCAGUAAAAUGUGUACAUGCUGGAAAAAGUGUGAUGUAGGCUGUUAUCUACAGACAUACCUCACAACAAAAAGUAAUUUUUAAGUGCACUUUGUGUGACUAAUAGUGAGUCCACUGUACAUCAAGCCCCUUAACUGCUAUCAGCUGUGCAGUUCACCUGAAAUUGAGCUCAGCUGAUGAUCAAUGUGUACACAAUGUCAUUGAACUGGCAAAACAGUACAAAUUGAAGCUGUUUGUUCCAAGCACUAUUGGUGCUUUUGGUCCAGAAUCACCUCGCUUACCUACUCCAAAUGUGACUAUACAACGACCAAAGACGAUAUAUGG